UGCAGUCGAGCGGCAGCGACACAUUGACCUUCGGGGGAUUUGUUGGGCGGCGAGCGGCGGACGGGUGAGUAAUGCCUGGGAAAUUGCCCUGAUGUGGGGGAUAACCAUUGGAAACGAUGGCUAAUACCGCAUGAUAGCUUCGGCUCAAGGAGGGGGACCUUCGGGCCUCUCGCGUCAGGAUAUGCCCAGGUGGGAUUAGCUAGUUGGUGAGGUAAGGGCUCACCAAGGCGACGAUCCCUAGCUGGUCUGAGAGGAUGAUCAGCCACACUGGAACUGAGACACGGUCCAGACUCCUACGGGAGGCAGCAGUGGGGAAUAUUGCACAAUGGGCGCAAGCCUGAUGCAGCCAUGCCGCGUGUAUGAAGAAGGCCUUCGGGUUGUAAAGUACUUUCAGCAGUGAGGAAGGGGGUAUCGUUAAUAGCGGUAUCCUUUGACGUUAGCUGCAGAAGAAGCACCGGCUAACUCCGUGCCAGCAGCCGCGGUAAUACGGAGGGUGCGAGCGUUAAUCGGAAUUACUGGGCGUAAAGCGCAUGCAGGUGGUUUGUUAAGUCAGAUGUGAAAGCCCGGGGCUCAACCUCGGAAUUGCAUUUGAAACUGGCAGGCUAGAGUACUGUAGAGGGGGGUAGAAUUUCAGGUGUAGCGGUGAAAUGCGUAGAGAUCUGAAGGAAUACCGGUGGCGAAAGGCGGCCCCCUGGACAGAUACUGACACUCAGAUGCGAAAGCGUGGGGAGCAAACAGGAUUAGAUACCCUGGUAGUCCACGCCCGUAAACGAUGUCUACUUGGAGGUUGUGGCCUUGAGCCGUGCUUUCGGGAGCCUAACGCGUUAAGUAGACCGCCUGGGGGAGUACCGUCGCAGAUAAAACUCAAAG
rnacentral:rRNA from 1 species